rnacentral:rRNA from 1 species
AUGGACUACGGCUUCGACGGCGCUCUCCAGCUGCCCCCGGGGUUCAGGUUCCACCCCACGGACGAGGAGCUGGUGAUGUACUACCUGUGCCGCAAGUGCGGCGGCCUGCCCAUCGCCGCGCCGGUGAUCGCCGAGGUCGACCUGUACAAGUUCGAGCCGUGGAGGCUGCCGGAGAAGGCGGCGGGAGGCGGGCCGGACUCCAAGGAGUGGUACUUCUUCUCGCCGCGGGACCGCAAGUACCCCAACGGGUCGCGGCCGAACCGCGCCGCCGGGACCGGGUACUGGAAGGCCACGGGCGCCGACAAGCCCGUGGGGUCGCCGCGCCCCGUGGCCAUCAAGAAGGCUCUCGUCUUCUACGCCGGCAAGCCCCCCAAGGGCGUCAAGACCAACUGGAUCAUGCACGAGUACCGCCUCGCCGACGUCGACCGCUCCGCCGCCGCCCGCAAGAAGUCCAACAACGCUCUCAGGCUGGAUGACUGGGUGCUCUGCCGAAUCUACAACAAGAAGGGCGUCAUCGAGCGGUACGACACGCCGGACUCCGACGUCGCCGACGUUAAGCCGGCGCCGCCGCCGGCUGCCAAGAUCCCGCGGCAAGGCCAGUACCACGCUGGGCCAGCGAUGAAGGUCGAGCUGUCCGACUACGGGUUCUACCAGCAGCCGUCGCCGCCGGCCACGGAGAUGCUCUGCUUCGACCGGUCCGGGUCGGCGGACCGGGACUCGAACUCGAACCACUCCAUGCCGCGCCUGCACACGGACUCCAGCUCCUCGGAGCGCGCGCUGUCCUCGCCGUCGCCCGACUUCCCGAGCGACAUGGACUACGCGGAGAGCCAGCACGCCGCCGGCCUCGCCGGGGGGUGGCCGGGCGACGACUGGGGCGGCGUCAUAGACGACGACGGGUUCGUCAUCGACGGCUCGCUGAUUUUCGACCCGCCCUCGCCGGGCGCCUUCGCCCGCGACGCCGCCGCGUUCGGCGACAUGCUCACGUACCUGCAGAAACCGUUCUGA